UGAGUUUGAUCCUGGCUCAGAACUAAUGCUAGCAGCAGGCCUAACACAUGCAAGUUGAGCGGGUGACCUAGCAAUAGGUUGUUUAGCGGCAUACGGGUGAGUAACGCUUAAGUAUUCUGUCUUAUUUUACAAGAUAAUGCAAGGAGAUUUGUAGCAAUAUUGUAUGAUUCCUGUAUCAGGUAAAGAGUAUUUGAAAUAAGAUGAGCUUAUGUUAGAUUAGCUAGUUGGUAAGGGUAAGAGCCUACCUAGGCAAUGAUCUAUAGCUGGUCUGGGAGGACACACAGCCACAUUGGGACUGAGACACGGCCCAGACUCUUUCGGGAGGCAGCAGUGAGGAAUAUUGGACAAUGGGCGCAAGCCUGAUCCAGCUAUGUUGCGUGAGUGAUGACAGUUCCAUAUAAACAUGCCUCGGCACGUUGAAUUGUAAAACUCUUUUAUCAAUGUUCAUAGUGAUAUAAUUGAUGAAUAAGCUCCGGCCAACUCCGUGCCAGCAGCCGCGGUAAUACGGGGGGAGCAAGCGUUGUUCAGUUUAACUGGGCGUAAAGCGUGCUAAGGCUGUUUUAUAAGUUAAUAAUUAAAUCUUGAAGCUUAACUUCAUGCUAUUGUUAAUACUGUUUAACUAGAAUGCAGUAGGGGUGAACAGAAUUCCAAGUGUAGAGGUGAAAUUUGUUGAUAUUUGGAAGACUACCGGAGGCGAAGGCGGUUCACUAUUCUGUUAUUGACGCUUAAUUGCACGAAAGCGUGGGUAGCAAACAGGAUUAGAUACCCUGGUAGUCCACGCUGUAAACGAUGAGUGCUAGCAGCUGAGGUGAAUAUGAUUUAUAUGAUAUAAUCGCAUGCAUCUUGAUUGCACAGCUAACGCGUUAAGCACUCCGCCAGGGUAGUACGGUCGCAAGAUUGAAACCCAAAGGAAUUGACGGAGGCCCGUCCAAGCGGUGGAGCAUGUGGUUUAAUUCGAAACUACACGAAGAAUCUUACCAGCCCUUGACAUUUUAAGCUCAAACUGUUUAGUAAAUUAAACACUUAUAUCUCGUAAAGGGGUUAUAGGCUUUUAACAGGUGCUGCAUGGCUGUCGUCAGCUCGUGUCGUGAGAUAUACGGUUAAGUCCUAUAACGAGCGCAACCCUUGCCCCUAGUUGCUUAAGGCAAUAAAAGCUAGCUCUCUAGGGGUACUGCUAAUUCAAAGUUAGAGGAAGGAGAGGAUAACGUCAAGUCAUCAUGGCCCUUAUGGGCUGGGCCACACACGUGCUACAAUGGCAAACCACAGAGAGUCGCAAUGCCGCGAGGCUGAGCAAAUCUUUUAAAACUUGUCUAAGUUCAGAUUGCACCUCUGUAAUUCGAGUGCAUGAAGUUGGAAUCGCUAGUAAUCGCGGAUCAGCAUGCCGCGGUGAAUACGUUCU
rnacentral:rRNA from 1 species